rnacentral:misc_RNA from 1 species
UCUCCGUAGGUGAACCUGCGGAGGGAUCAUUACAGAGUUCAUGCCCUACCGGGUAGAUCUCCCACCCUAUGUUAUUAUUACUUUGUUGCUUUGGCGGGCCGUUAGGCUCCGGCCCGACUACCGGCCCCGGCUGGUAAGCGCCCGCCAGAGGACCCAAAACCCUGAAUAUUAGUGUCGUCUGAGUACUAUAUACUAGUUAAAACUUUCAACAACGGAUCUCUUGGUUCUG